GACGAAGGAUCCAAGCGUUAUCCGGAUUCAUUGGGUUUAAAGGGUGCGUAGGCGGGGUUGUAAGUCAGUGGUGAAAGCCGGCAGCUCAACUGUCGAAUUGCCAUUGAUACUGCAGACCUAGAAUGUAGAUGAUGUUGGCGGAAUAUGACAUGUAGCGGUGAAAUGCAUAGAUAUGUCAUAGAACACCGAUUGCGAAGGCAGCUGACAAAACUAUUAUUGACGCUGAUGCACGAAAGUGCGGGGAUCAAACAGG
rnacentral:rRNA from 1 species